GAACCGUCCAAACGUUAUUCGGAAUCAUUGGGCUUAAAGGGUGCGUAGGCGGCGUGGUCAGUUGGGUGUGAAAUCCCUCGGCUCAACCGAGGAACUGCGCCCAAUACUGCCACACUCGAGGGAGACAGAGGUAAGCGGAACUGAUGGUGGAGCGGUGAAAUGCGUUGAUAUCAUCAGGAACACCAGUGGCGAAGGCGGCUUACUGGGUCUCUUCUGACGCUGAGGCACGAAAGCUAGGGGGGAGCGAACGGGAUUAGAUACCCCGGUAGUCCUAGCUGUAAACGAUGAGCACUUGAUCGGAGACUCCCUCCAUAGGUUUCCGGUCGUAGCGAAAGUGUUAAGUGCUCCGCCUGGGAGUAUGGUCGCAAGGCUG
rnacentral:rRNA from 1 species